rnacentral:sRNA from 1 species
UAUUUAAGGUCCCUAGACCUCGUUUUGGCGGGCGGGCGGUACUUUCCGUCAAGAAACCGGCGGGGUUCGGAGGCGUUCCAUACUUUUGGAGGGCCUUUUAGGG